rnacentral:rRNA from 1 species
UGUUUCGGCUAGGGGGCCAUCCCGGCUUACCAACCCGAUGCAAACUGCGAAUACCGGAGAAUGUUAUCACGGGAGACACACGGCGGGUGCUAACGUCCGUCGUGAAGAGGGAAACAACCCAGACCGCCAGCUAAGGUCCCAAAGUCAUGGUUAAGUGGGAAACGAUGUGGGAAGGCCCAGACAGCCAGGAUGUUGGCUUAGAAGCAGCCAUCAUUUAAAGAAAGCGUAAUAGCUCACUGGUCGAGUCGGCCUGCGCGGAAGAUGUAACGGGGCUAAACCAUGCACCGAAGCUGCGGCAGCGACACUGUGUGUUGUUGGGUAGGGGAGCGUUCUGUAAGCCUGCGAAGGUGUCCCGUGAGGGAUGCUGGAGGUAUCAG